GGAGAGAUGACAGAGUUGGUCUAUUGUGCACGAUUGGAAAUCGUGUGUGCUCCAAAAGGGCACCGGGGGUUCGAAUCCCCCUCUCUCCGCCA
rnacentral:tRNA from 1 species